rnacentral:rRNA from 1 species
GUAGAACGCUGAAGAGAGGAGCUUGCUCUUCUUGGAUGAGUUGCGAACGGGUGAGUAACGCGUAGGUAACCUGCCUUGUAGCGGGGGAUAACUAUUGGAAACGAUAGCUAAUACCGCAUAACAAUGGAUGACACAUGUCAUUUAUUUGAAAGGGGCAAUUGCUCCACUACAAGAUGGACCUGCGUUGUAUUAGCUAGUAGGUGAGGUAAUGGCUCACCUAGGCGACGAUACAUAGCCGACCUGAGAGGGUGAUCGGCCACACUGGGACUGAGACACGGCCCAGACUCCUACGGGAGGCAGCAGUAGGGAAUCUUCGGCAAUGGGGGCAACCCUGACCGAGCAACGCCGCGUGAGUGAAGAAGGUUUUCGGAUCGUAAAGCUCUGUUGUAAGUCAAGAACGGGUGUGAGAGUGGAAAGUUCACACUGUGACGGUAGCUUACCAGAAAGGGACGGCUAACUACGUGCCAGCAGCCGCGGUAAUACGUAGGUCCCGAGCGUUGUCCGGAUUUAUUGGGCGUAAAGCGAGCGCAGGCGGUUUGAUAAGUCUGAAGUUAAAGGCUGUGGCUCAACCAUAGUUCGCUUUGGAAACUGUCAAACUUGAGUGCAGAAGGGGAGAGUGGAAUUCCAUGUGUAGCGGUGAAAUGCGUAGAUAUAUGGAGGAACACCGGUGGCGAAAGCGGCUCUCUGGUCUGUAACUGACGCUGAGGCUCGAAAGCGUGGGGAGCGAACAGGAUUAGAUACCCUGGUAGUCCACGCCGUAAACGAUGAGUGCUAGGUGUUGGAUCCUUUCCGGGAUUCAGUGCCGCAGCUAACGCAUUAAGCACUCCGCCUGGGGAGUACGACCGCAAGGUUGAAACUCAAAGGAAUUGACGGGGGCCCGCACAAGCGGUGGAGCAUGUGGUUUAAUUCGAAGCAACGCGAAGAACCUUACCAGGUCUUGACAUCCCGAUGCUAUUUCUAGAGAUAGAAAGUUACUUCGGUACAUCGGUGACAGGUGGUGCAUGGUUGUCGUCAGCUCGUGUCGUGAGAUGUUGGGUUAAGUCCCGCAACGAGCGCAACCCCUAUUGUUAGUUGCCAUCAUUCAGUUGGGCACUCUAGCGAGACUGCCGGUAAUAAACCGGAGGAAGGUGGGGAUGACGUCAAAUCAUCAUGCCCCUUAUGACCUGGGCUACACACGUGCUACAAUGGUUGGUACAACGAGUUGCGAGUCGGUGACGGCGAGCUAAUCUCUUAAAGCCAAUCUCAGUUCGGAUUGUAGGCUGCAACUCGCCUACAUGAAGUCGGAAUCGCUAGUAAUCGCGGAUCAGCACGCCGCGGUGAAUACGUUCCCGGGCCUUGUACACACCGCCCGUCACACCACGAGAGUUUGUAACACCCGAAGUCGGUGAGGUAACCUUUGGAGCCAGCC